rnacentral:rRNA from 1 species
GACGAACGCUGGCGGCGUGCUUGACACAUGCAAGUCGAACGGGAAGGCCCUGCUUUUGUGGGGUGCUCGAGUGGCGAACGGGUGAGUAACACGUGAGUAACCUGCCCUUGACUUUGGGAUAACUUCAGGAAACUGGGGCUAAUACCGGAUAGGAGCUCCUGCUGCAUGGUGGGGGUUGGAAAGUUUCGGCGGUCGGGGAUGGACUCGCGGCUUAUCAGCUUGUUGGUGGGGUAGUGGCUUACCAAGGCUUUGACGGGUAGCCGGCCUGAGAGGGUGACCGGCCACAUUGGGACUGAGAUACGGCCCAGACUCCUACGGGAGGCAGCAGUGGGGAAUAUUGCACAAUGGGCGGAAGCCUGAUGCAGCAACGCCGCGUGCGGGAUGACGGCCUUCGGGUUGUAAACCGCUUUCGCCUGUGACGAAGCGUGAGUGACGGUAAUGGGUAAAGAAGCACCGGCUAACUACGUG